UACGUAGGGACCGAGCGUUGUCCGGAAUCAUUGGGCGUAAAGAGCGUGUAGGCGGCCAGACAGGUCAGCUGUGAAAACUCGAGGCUCAACCUCGAGACGUCGGUUGAAACCGUCUGGCUAGAGUCCGGAAGAGGAGAGUGGAAUUCCCGGUGUAGCGGUGAAAUGCGCAGGAUAUCGGGAAGAACACCCGUGGCGAAGGCGACUCUCUGGGACGGUACUGACGCUGAGACGCGAAAGCGUGGGGAGCGAACAGG
rnacentral:rRNA from 1 species